UUAGUCUAAGUUCUGUUCAUGUUCAAGAACGGUUCGUAAUUGUUGAAUUCCUUGUCUCAUGUUUCCAUUUUUUAUU
rnacentral:sRNA from 1 species